rnacentral:rRNA from 1 species
AUUGAACGCUGGCGGCAGGCCUAACACAUGCAAGUCGAGCGCGAAAGUUCUUCGGAAUGAGUAAAGCGGCGGACGGGUGAGUAAUACAUGGGAAUCUGCCUGGUAGCGGGGGACAACGUUUCGAAAGGAACGCUAAUACCGCAUACGCCCUACGGGGGAAAGGGGGGGAUCUUCGGACCUCUCGCUAUCAGAUGAGCCCA